UUGGGAACUAGGUGUUGGCGACAUUCCACGUCGUCGGUGCCGCAGCUAACGCAUUAAGUUCCCCGCCUGGGGAGUACGGCCGCAAGGCUAAAACUCAAAGGAAUUGACGGGGGCCCGCACAAGCAGCGGAGCAUGUGGCUUAAUUCGACGCAACGCGAAGAACCUUACCAAGGCUUGACAUAUACCGGAAACGGCCAGAGAUGGUCGCCCCCUUGUGGUCGGUAUACAGGUGGUGCAUGGCUGUCGUCAG
rnacentral:rRNA from 1 species